rnacentral:rRNA from 1 species
UACGUAGGUGGCGAGCGUUGUCCGGAUUUACUGGGCGUAAAGGGCGCGUAGGCGGCGCGGUAAGUCACUUGUGAAAUCUCUGAGCUUAACUCAGAACGGCCAAGUGAUACUGCAGUGCUAGAGUGUGGAAGGGGCAAUCGGAAUUCUUGGUGUAGCGGUGAAAUGCGUAGAUAUCAAGAGGAACACCUGAGGUGAAGACGGGUUGCUGGGCCAACACUGACGCUGAUGCGCGAAAGCCAGGGGAGCAAACGGG